GCAGCCAUGGAAUUUCAGUAGUGGAACACCACAGUCUGAUCUAAAAGCGCAGACCAAUUCCAGACCAGUGUCUCCAGUGCCCAGCUGUGUGUCUAUGAAGAGCAGCAGGUCCAUGGCGGAGCCUUGGAACUUCAGCCGUAGAACUUCACAAUCUGAUCCAAAACCUGGGAAUUGCAGAUCAAUGUCUCCAGUGCCCAGCUGUGUUUCUAUGAAGACUAACCGGUCUAUGGCGGAGCCCUGGAAUUUCAGCAGUGGAACAUCAAUGUAAGAAAUCAUUCAUGUGUAUAUACUAGAGAUGCACCAGAUCCGGAUCCGGCAGGAUAAUAGGGUUUUUCACAGGAUCCGGAUCCGGUUCCAGGAUCCAGGAUCCGGUAGCCGAGGCUUUUCAGUCAAAAUAGUUUGAGCCAACGUGAUAAAAAGGGCCCACGUGUGCGAGUAGGCUAUGUGU